rnacentral:piRNA from 1 species
UAAAAUGUAUCUGAAGAUAGAAGCAAAGGC